rnacentral:lncRNA from 1 species
AUUCAGACCCUUUGCUUUGAAACUCGAAAUUAAGCUCAGGUGCAUCCUGUUUCCAUUUAUCAUCCUUUGGGAUGUUUUUACAACUUGAUUGGAGUCCACCUGUGGUAAAUUUAAUUGAUUGGACAUGAUUUGGAAAGGCACACACCUGUCCAUAUAAGGUUCCACAGUUGACAGUGCAUGUUAGAGCAAAAACCAAGCCAUGAGGUCGAAGGAAUUGUCCGUAGAGCUCAGAGACAGGAUUGUGUUGAGGACAAGAUCUGGAGAAGGGUACCAAAAAAUGUCUGCAGCAUUGAAGGCCCCCAAGAACACAGUGGCCUCCAUCAUUCUUAAAUGGAAGACUCUACCUAGAGCUGCCAAGCUGAGCAAUCGGGGGAGAAGAGCCUUGGUCAGGGAGGUGACCAAAACCCCGAUGGUCACUCUGACAGAGCUCUAGAGUUCCUCUGUGGAGAUGGGCGACCUGGCACUAUCCCUACGGUGAAGCAUGGUGGUGGCAACAUCAUGCUGUCUGGAUUUUUUUUAAGUGGCAGGGAGACUAGUCAGGAUCGAGACAAAGAUAAACGGAGCAAAGUGCAGAGAGAUCCUUGAUAACCUGCUCCAGAGCUCUCAGGACCUCACACUGGGGCGAAGGUUCACCUUCCAACAGGACAACAACCCUAAGCACACAGCCAAGACAACGCAGGAGUGACUUCGGGACGAGUCUCUGAAUGUCCUUGAGUUGCCCAGACUUGAACCCGAUCGAACAUCUUUGAAUCCUACCUGACCGAGUUUGAGAGGAUCUGCAGAAAAGAAACUGACAAACUCCCCAAAUACAGGUGUGCCAAGCUUGUUGCAACAUACCCAAGAAGACUCGAGGCUGUAAUCGCUACCAAAUGUGCUUCAAAAAAACGUUCAGCGGCUACCUAGAAUAAAAGCAGUUCCAACAACUAAAGAAGUUGAAGUCGAACUGUCAUUUGAAAGGGCCACACAAACGCUUCACACCGCAUGGCUGCUGCCACUCUAACCUGGUGGUCCCAGCGCGCACGACCCACGUGGAGUUCCAGGUCUCCGGCAGCCUCUGGAACUGCCGGUCUGCGGCCAACAAGGCAGAGUUCAUCUCAGCCUAUGCUACCCUCCAGUCCAUCGAGUUCUUGGCGCUGACGGAAACAUGGAUUACCACAGAAAACACUGCUACUCCUACUGCUCUCUCCUCGUCUGACCACGAGUUCUCGCAUACCACGAGAGCAUCUGGUCAGGGGGGUGGUGGCACUGGAAUCCUCUUCUCUCCCAAGAGAACAUUCUCUCUUUCUCCCCUGACCCAUCUGUCUAUCUCCUCCUUUGAAUUCCAUGCUGUCACAGUCACUAGCACAUUCAAGCUUAACAUCCUUAUCAUUUAUCGCCCUCCAGGUUCCCUUGGAGAGUUCAUCAAUGAGCUUGACGCCUUGAUAAGUUCCUUUCCUGAGGAUGGCUCACCCCUCACAAUUCUGGGUGACCUCCCUACGUCUACCUUUGACUCAUUUCUCUCUGCCUCCUUUCCACUCCUCUCCUCUUUUGACCUCACCCUCUCACCGUCCCCCCCUACUCACAAGGCAGGCAAUACGCUUGACCUCAUCUUUUCUGGAUGCUGUUCUUCUACUAAUCUCACUGCAACUCCCCUCCAAGUCUCCGACCACUACCUUGUAUCCUUUUCCCUCUCGCUCUCAUCCAACACUACUCACUCUGCCCCUACUCAGAUGGUAUUGCGCCGUCGCAACCUUCGCUCUCUCACUCCUGCUACUCUCUCCUCUUCCAUCCUAUCAUCUCUUCCCUCUGCUCAAUCCUUCUCCAACCAAUCUCCUGAUUCUACCUCCUCAACCCUCCUCUCCUACCUUUCUGCAUCCUUUGACUCUCUAUGUCCCCUAUCAUCCUGGCCGGCUCGGUCCUCCCCUCCUGCUCCGUGGCUUAACGACUCAUUGCAAGCUCACGGAACAGGGCUCCGGGCAGCCGAGCGGAAAUGGAGGAAAACUAGCCUCCCUGCGGACCUGGCAUCUUUUCACUCCCUCCUCUCCAUAUUUUCUUCCUCUGUUUCUGCUGCUAAAGCCACUUUCUACCACUCUAAAUUCCAAGCAUCUGCCUCUAACCCUAGGAAGCUCUUUGCCACCUUCUCCUCCCUCCUGAAUCCUCCUCCCCCUCCCCCCUCCUCCCUCUCUGUGGAUGACUUUGUCAACCAUUUUGAAAAGAAGGUUGACGACAUCCGACCGCUGGUCCUGCUCACAUUGCCCUACCCUAUGCUUUGACCUCUUUCUCCCCUCUCUCUUCAGAUGAAAUCUUGCGACUUGUGACGGCCGGCCGCCCAACAACCUGCCCGCUUGACCCUAUCCCCUCCUCUCUUCUCCAGACCAUUUCCGGAGACCUUCUCCUUUACCUCAUCUCGCUCAUCAACUCAUCCUUGACCGCUGGCUACGUCCCUUCCGUCUUCAAGAGAGCGAGAGUUGCACCCCUUCUCAAAAAACCUACACUCGAUCCAUCCAAUGUCAACAACUACAGACCAGUAUCCCUUCUUUCUUUUCUCUCCAAAACUCUUGAGCGUGCCGUCCUUGGCCAGUUCUCUUGUUAUCUCUCUCAGAAUGACCUUCUUGAUCCAAAUCAGUCAGGUUUCAAGACUGGUCAUUCAACUGAGACUGCUCUUCUCUGUGUCACGGAGGCUCUCCGCACUGCUAAAGCUAACUCUCUCUCCUCUGCUCUCAUCCUUCUAGACCUAUCUGCUGCCUUUGAUACUGUGAACCAUCAGAUCCUCCUCUCCACCCUCUCCGAGUUGGGCAUCUCCGGCGCGGCUCACUCUUGGAUUGCGUCCUACCUGACAGGUCGCUCCUACCAGGUGACGAAUCGCAUCUCUGCAUGUCUGGCAGACAUAUCAGUGUGGAUGACGGAUCACCACCUCAAGCUGAACCUCGGCAAGACGGAGCUGCUCUUCCUCCCGGGGAAGGACUGCCCGUUCCAUGAUCUCGCCAUCACGGUUGACAACUCCAUUGUGUCCUCCUCCCAGAGUGCUAAGAGCCUUGGCGUGACCCUGGACAACACCCUGUCGUUCUCUGCUAACAUCAAGGCGGUGACCCGAUCCUGUAGGUACAUGCUCUACAACAUUCGCAGAGUACGACCCUGCCUCACACAGGAAGCGGCGCAGGUCCUAAUCCAGGCACUUGUCAUCUCCCGUCUGGAUUACUGCAACUUGCUGUUGGCGGGGCUCCCUGCCUGUGCCACUAAACCCCUACAACUCAUCCAGAACGCCGCAGCCUGUCUGGUGUUCAACCUUCCCAAGUUCUCUCACGUCACCCUGCUCCUCCGCACACUCCACUGGCUUCCAGUUGAAGCUCGCAUCUGCUACAAGACCAUGGUGCUUGCCUACGGAGCUGUGAAGGAAACGGCACCUCCGUACCUUCAGGCUCUGAUCAGUCCCUACACCUAAAGAAGGGCAUUGCGUUCAUCCACCUCUGGCCUGCUCGCCGACCUACCUCUGCGGAAGCAUACAGUGCCUUGCGAAAGUAUUCGAAUAAUUUUGCACGGCCAAUUUUUCCGUUUUUUAUUUGUUAAAAAAGUUUGAAAUAUCCAAUAAAUUUCGUUCCACUUCAUAAUUGUGUCCCACUUGUUGUUGAUUCUUCACAAAAAAUUACAGUUUUAUAUCUUUAUGUUUGAAGCCUGAAAUGUGGCAAAAGGUCGAAAAGUUCAAGGGGGCCGAAUACUUUCCGAAUACUUUCGCAAGGCACUGUAGUUCCCGCUCAGCCCAGUCAAAACUGUUCGCUGCUCUGGCACCCCAAUGGUGGAACAAGCUCCCUCACGACUUCAGGACAGCGGAGUCAAUCACCACCUUCCGGAGACACCUGAAACCCCACCUCUUUAAGGAAUACCUGGGAUAGGAUUAAGUAUUCCUUCUAACCCUCCCUCCCUACCCUCCCCC